GACGAAGGGGGCUAGCGUUGUUCGGAAUUACUGGGCGUAAAGCGAGUGUAGGCGGUUGCCGUAGUCAGGUGUGAAAGCCUUGAGCUCAACUCAAGAAAUGCACUUGAUACUGGGUGACUAGAGGACCGGAGAGGAUAGUGGAAUUCCCAGUGUAGUGGUGAAAUACGUAGAGAUUGGGAAGAACACCAGUGGCGAAGGCGGCUAUCUGGACGGUUACUGACGCUAAGACUCGAAAGCGUGGGGAGCAAACAGG
rnacentral:rRNA from 1 species